ACCCGCUGAACUUAAGCAUAUCAAUAAGCGGAGGAAAAGAAACCAACAGGGAUUGCCUUAGUAACUGCGAGUGAAGCGGCAAAAGCUCAAAUUUGAAAUCUGGUGCCUUCGGCGCCCGAGUUGUAAUUUGGAGAGACAUCUUCGGAGUAGACGCCGUCCUAAGUUCCUUGGAACAGGACGUCACAGAGGGUAGAGAAUCCCGUGCCUGGAUGGCUGUUCUACUUCAUGUGAAGUGUCUUCGACGAGUCGAGUUGUUUGGGAAUGCAGCUCAAAAUGGGAGGUAAAUUUCUUCUAAAGCUAAAUAUUGGCGAGAGACCGAUAGCGCACAAGUAGAGUGAUCGAAAGAUGAAAAGCACUUUGAAAAGAGAGUUAAAAAGUACGUGAAAUUGUUGAAAGGGAAGCGCUUGAGACCAGACUCGACCAGUGGUGAUCAGCAGUGCUUCUGUGCCGUGCACUUGCCAUUGGUUGGGCCAGCAUCGGUUUGGACGGCGGGAUAAAGACCUAAGGAAUGUGGCUCCCUCCGGGGAGUGUUAUAGCCUUGAGUGCAAUGCCGCCAGUCUGGACCGAGGACCGCGCUUCGGCUAGGAUGCUGGCGUAAUGGUCUU
rnacentral:rRNA from 1 species